rnacentral:rRNA from 1 species
AUUCCAGCUCCAAUAGCGUAUAUUAAAGUUGUUGCAGUUAAAAAGCUCGUAGUUGGAUUUCUGGCGUGAGGCGACUGUUCCUAGGCUCUAUGCCUAGUGUAACAGAUCGCCUCGGCCAUCCUUCUGGAAAACGGCCCUGCUCUUCAUUGAGUUGGGGUCGGGAUCCAGAUCUUUUACUUUGAAAAAAUUAGAGUGUUUAAAGCAGGCUUAUGCCUUGAAUACAUUAGCAUGGAAUAAUAAUUUAGGACUUUGGUUCUAUUUUGUUGGUUUCUAGAACUGAAGUAAUGAUUGAUAGGGAUAGUUGGGGGUGCUAGUAUUCAGCGGCCAGAGGUGAAAUUCUUGGAUUCGCUGAAGACUAACUUAUGCGAAAGCAUUCACCAAGGAUGUCUUCAUCG